rnacentral:rRNA from 1 species
CGCUAUUUGCUUAUGAAAAAUAGUACCACCUGCUCAAUGUGAUUAUAAAUAGCUGUGGUAACCUGACUAUACAAAGGUAGCAUAAUCAUUUGUUUUUUAAUUGAAGACUAGGAUGAAAGGUAGUAACCGGGGGGAUAGUUUUAUUGUAAUAUUAUUGAAUUUUAGUUAAGAUUAAAAACGAUCUUAUAAGACCUUGGGACGAGGAGACCCUAGAAGCUUUAGGAGAAAUAGAAAUAACUUCUUUUGGUUGGGGCAAUCGGAGGGUAUAUAAACUCCUCUCUGAAAUCUAUAAAAAUAAUAAGUUACUCUAGGGAUAACAGCGUACUUAAGCAAGAGAGUUCGUAUUAAAAGCUUAGUUUGCGACCUCGAUGUUGAAUUAAGGAUCUAAUUAGGUGUAGGGGCUUAAAUGAAAGUAGUCUGUUCGACUAUUAAUACCUUACA